rnacentral:rRNA from 1 species
UUCUUAUAGAAAUAAUUAUAAGUAAAGCCUGCUCAAUGAAAAUUUUAAUAGCCGCAGAAUUUUACUGUGCUAAGGUAGCAUAAUCAUUUGUCUUCUAAUUAAAGACUAGUAUGAAAGACUAAACGAAUUAAUUACUUUUUAGAUAAUAAUUAAUUAAUUUAAAAUAAAUGUAAAAAUUCAUUUAAUAUUAAAAAGACGACAAGACCCUAUUGAACUUUACUAAAGUUUUACUGGGGCAGUAUUUUAACUAAAUUUUAAUUUUAAAUUAUAUAAAUACAGAACCAUAAAUAAAUAUAUGCACAAAAGAACAAGUUACCAUAGGGAUAACAGCGUAAUAAAAUUUAAAAGAUCAUAUUUAAAAUUUUGUUUGCGACCUCGAUGUUGAAUAAUUUAUCUAUUUAAUGCAACAAUUAAAAAAGUAGGUCUGUUCGACCUUUAAAUAAUUACA